rnacentral:sRNA from 1 species
GCAGGGCAUGGUGGUGCAAGCCUGUAAUCUCAGCAGCUCAGGAGGCUGAGGCAGGAGGAUCGCCAGUUCAAAGCCAGCCUCAGCAAUGGCGAGGCCCUAAGCAACUCAGUGAGACUCUGUCUCUA